GGGAAGGCAAUGUAACGGCCUCUCCCCCCGCCCCUCCCUCCCCGCUCCCGCCCCCCACCCACAGACCGGCUCCAGGCAGCGCCCGGGGCGGCGGCGGAGGCGGUGGCAGCGGCGGGGUGCGGGCUGAGGGAGCCGGGCCUCGACGCCCCCCCUCACCCCCGUGCCCCAGGAGCGGUACCUGGUCCCUGAGGGGCUGGGGGGGCCCCAUGGAGCCGAAGGUGGCGUUCCGCGGAGGUGCGAACCGCUGCUGUGGCCUCGGCGCCGACGCCAGCCGGCUCCCGGACGUCUUCAGCAGCGUGAUGUUGACCGGCUCCACUUCCUUCUACGACUGCUACAAGUCGCAGGUCCAGCGGCCCCUGCCCUUGCUCGCGAGUGUAUCCCAAAUCGGAUCCAUUUACCCCGGCCGAUCCACAUCGGUCUUAAAUUGCUCCAAGUUUAGGACCAGAAAGCGAGGAACAGCAGGUUAAAUACAGGGUUUGCAGAAUACGUACUUUGCUUUGAAAACAAGGAUUACGAUUUUUCAUUGAUUCUUGUUUUCAUCUGGCCCUCAGCAUAGCAUGAUGCCAGAAAUGUAAGAAAAUCCCUGUUUGCGUAGGAAGACCACAAAAUAUUUUUUCCUUCAAGCAUUUAUUGCAAGUUAGUAGAAACAUAAAUUUUGAUAGUUUGAAGGUGAAGUUUUUUCACUCGUUUAUUCUCUGGCUUUAACACUGUCUUAGGUUACAUGCUACCUUUUACUUCACCGAAAACGUUUAAUUUUGUUAGCCAUAUUAAAUUAGUCUUAGGGUAACGUAAGUCAUUUUCAUUUAAAAGUAUUUAACCAGGACGUCAAUGUUGAUAUUGUUCGCUUUGAAUUAUAACAAUACCUUGAAAUAAAUUAUUUAAUCCACACUGCAGCCUUGUAUAGUAUUAUGCCCGCUGUACAGACUGAGAAACUGAGGCUGGGAGAGCUUGUUUUGUGCCCUGAGUGACAAAACCCAAGUGGAACCCAGGUCUUUUCACUGCCAAGACCAGGAUUCCCCUGCUGUCUGUAAUGUUUAUAUCGCUGCUAAAAUUUACUUGAAUUUAAUUUCAGUUGAUUG
rnacentral:lncRNA from 1 species